GCAAGAGUAGUGUAGGGGCAUCAUGCAAGGUUCUCAUUCUUGCAACCUGGAUUCGAAUCCCAGCUAGCGCA